UUUUUAAAAGAUAUCAAAUAUCAAAUACUCAAACACUAUUAGUUGGUGAACUUAGAGGUUCACCCUAGGGGGUGAACCUAAGAAUUACUCACUUAUGUGUAAAACAUUCAUGAGAAAGAUAACAAAAAUGUCUUCUUGUUCGUAGGCCCAAGCCCCCUUUUCUCGCAGUUAUAGAUAUUUUACUGGACCUUGGCAUUUGAUUUUUUUCGAUUUGGUUUCGGGCUUUUGAGUUUUGGAGUUUUGAGUUUUGUGGGUGUUCGGUUUUGUGGUUCACGUUGGUAAAAUUUUAUAUUCGUUUAAAAGAUAUUAUAAGAAAGAUUGCAUGAGUAAUAAAUUCUUUUUUUUUUAUAACAUCAGAUUAAUAAAUUCUUAUUUAUCAAAAGGGAAAUGAUUAAAAUAUACUCCCUCGGUUCCACAAAUAUAUACUUUUUUAGUAUUUAAUAUAUUAAGAAAACACAUUAAACUUCCAUAAUAAAUGUAUUAUCUUCUGUAAUUUUGAAUUGGAUUAAACAUUUUUUUUUGCUCUGCUGAAUCGGAUUAAUCAUGAUAAAUACAUUGGUUGGUGGUUUGUGAAAUAUGGUAUGAUUGUUUGUUGAUUUUUACUCAUGUCUGAAUAGAAUUCAAUCGUAGUUUUGUGUUAGGUUAGCUAUUAAAUAGCUGCUUAAGUGGUUUGUGUGAGGUAAUGUUAGGUUUAGGUAAUAAAUUGAUUUAUAGUUGGACUGAAAUGAAUGGUGUUCUGUGUAGAAGGAGGUUGUGUGAUGAAUGCUUUUAGAUAUAUGUCUACUCGGUUAUGGUUGGUUGUGAUCAAUGCGUUGAUCCUUCUCUUCCUUACAUAAACCGCGUCUUUGAUCUCCUACUUUCUCACCUCACUUCUUUUCUUUAUCUCUUCCUUGUUCAAACCGUGUCUCUUCUCUUCCUACUUUCUCACCCUACUUCUUUUCUUUAUCUUUUCCUUGUUCAAACUGUGUGCUUCUCUUCCCUAGUUCAGUUCUUUUUUUCUCUCUUCCUUAAGCUUACUUCGGAUAUGGAUUCUUAUCCAUCUACCCAGAGUUCAAAAUUUGUUGAACUACUUCACAGACAACAAAGCAUUUCGUUCGGUAACUAUGAAAAUAGUGUCUCACUAUCUUCAUCACAACCUCUGUUUCAACGCACGCUAGGAACCGGAGAUGGAUUAUGUCUACCUAAUUUUUUUGUUUAAUGUGAGAGAGUGAACCAUUGGGAGCACCCGUGAGAGAGAGGUGGUCAUCAAUCACAAGCAGCGACAACAGUUUUGUAUCCUUGUGUCACACGACAGUGAGAGAGUGUGUGUGUUUGGGUCUGUGUGUUCUUGGGUCAGUGCUGUUAGAGUGGAGCAUUGGGUCAGUGUUGUUUGUAUUUGUAUGUGUCUGUUGUAUUCUUGUGUCACGAGAAUGUGUUGUGUCUGUGUGUUCAUGUGUCUAUUGUUUGUAUUUGUAUGUGUCACGGGAAUGUAUGUGUGUUUAGAGUGGAGCAUUGGGACAAUGAAUGUGUGUGUGGGCUCUUGUAUGUAUGUGUCACGAGAAUGUUUGCCGAACUCUUUCACACUUUAUAAAUCUGAUACAACAAUACUUUCUCUAUCUCACAACAUUUCACACUUCUCACCAUUCUCUUUCUCCAUAACAAUUCAUACGUCUAAUACAACAAAACUUUCUCCAUCUCACAACAUUUCACACUUCAAACCAUCCUCUUUCUCUAUUAUUCUCCUCAUCGAAAGCAAUUCAUACGUCUCUCCACAAUAUAUAAUCUGAAACAAGAAUCUGAAACAAACCUCUUAUGGCGUCAUCUUCUCACAACACUUUCGAAGGUAAUAUUGAUGAAACUUUCGAUCAAUAUUUUGAUCAAACUUUCGAUCAAACAUUUGAAAAUUUGUGCAAUGUUGAUGGUGAUCAAGAAGAUGAAAGGAAGACAAGGAAAAAAGGGUUUUUACCGAAAUAAAUCGUGAAGAUGGCCAUCUCCGGUUAUGGAAUGAUUAUUUCAGUGAUGUUGCAACAUAUCCCAAAAAUCUAUUCCGACGACGAUUUAGAAUGAACAAGGCAUUGUUCAUGCAUAUUGUUGAUCGCCUUUCCAAUGAAGUUCUGUUCUUUCGUCAAAAGAAGGACGGUAUCAGAAGGCUUGGUCUCUCUACACUUCAAAAGUGUACAGCAGCUAUAUGUGUGUUGGCAUAUGGUUAUGCGCUUGAUGCUGUCGGCGAAUACCUCAGGCUCGGUGCAACCACUGCUCGGUUAUGUGUGGAAAAUUUUGUGGAAGAAAUCAUAAAUUUGUUCGGCGAUGAGCACCUAAGAAGACCAACACCGGCUGAUAUUCAACGUCUACUUCAUAUUGGAGAGCUUCGUGGAUUUCCCGGGAUGAUAUGAAGCAUCAAUUGUAUGCAUUUGGAGUGGAAGAAUCGUUUUAGAGGCGGUUGCUUCAUAUGAUCUCUGGAUAUAGCAUGCGUUUUUCGGACGUCCAGGUAUCUUAAAUGAUAUCAAUGUUCUUGAUCGCUCACAUGUUUUUGAUGACAUAAUAAAUGGUAAAGCUCGGCAGGUGAAUUUCUCGGUCAACGGAAGAGAGUAUAAUUUGGCCUACUAUCUCACCGAUGGUAUUUAUCCGAAAUGGGCAACUUUUAUCAAAUCUAUUCCAAUUCCACAAGAAGCUGUCCGAAAAGAUGGGGAGCGUGCUUUCAGAGUCUUGUAAGCUCGAUUUACCAUUGUUAAAAAUCCAGCAUUUUCUUAGGAUAAAGUCAUGAUUGGGAAGAUUAUGAGAGCAUGUAUCAUACUCCAUAAUAUGAUUGUAGAAGAGAACGAGAUGAAUGCACUCAAUAUGAUGUUUCGGAUUUUCAACAAGGAGAAGGCAGCAGAAGUUCACAUGUCGAUCUCACCUAUUCGACAUAUAUCCCUACAAAUAUUGCCAAUCAAAUGGUGUUUGAACAAGAAUUCGUGAUAGACAAGCACAUCAACAACUGAAAGGUGAUUUGGUUGAACAUAUAUGGCGUAAAUUUGGACGUGAUGAAGACAACAACUGAACUUCGAUGCCUCUUUGAAAUUAUUAUCGUUUGACUUUAUUUUAUUUAAUAAGUAAAUUUAAUUUUUGUUCAAAAUUUUAUGUUUAAAAAUAAUUUUAAUAUUUGUUUUGGUUAAGAACCUUUAUUAAGAAACUACUAUUAAACCCCUAUAAUUAAGUGUAUCUUAGCAAAGUCUCUUAGUUUAAUGAUAACUAGACCUUGACCUGUCCGACCGGGCGGAUAUUUAUUUUAUGUUUUUAGUUUUUUUAGUUUAUAUUAAAUGAUGUAUUUGUAGUACUUAAAUAUAAAUUUAUAUUGAAAA